rnacentral:rRNA from 1 species
AUUGAACGCUGGCGGCAUGCCUUACACAUGCAAGUCGAACGGUAACGGGCCUUCGGGUGUCGACGAGUGGCGAACGGGUGAGUAAUACAUCGGAACGUGCCCGAUCGUGGGGGAUAACGAGGCGAAAGCUUUGCUAAUACCGCAUACGAUCUACGGAUGAAAGCAGGGGACCGCAAGGCCUUGCGCGGACGGAGCGGCCGAUGGCAGAUUAGGUAGUUGGUGGGAUAAAAGCUUACCAAGCCGACGAUCUGUAGCUGGUCUGAGAGGAUGAUCAGCCACACUGGGACUGAGACACGGCCCAGACUCCUACGGGAGGCAGCAGUGGGGAAUUUUGGACAAUGGGCGCAAGCCUGAUCCAGCCAUGCCGCGUGCAGGAUGAAGGCCUUCGGGUUGUAAACUGCUUUUGUACGGAACGAAAAGCCUUCUUUUAAUACAGGAGGGUCAUGACGGUACCGUAAGAAUAAGCACCGGCUAACUACGUG